ACUCCUACGGGAGGCAGCAGUGGGAAUAUUGCACAAUGGGCGCAAGCCUGAUGCAGCCAUGCCGCGUGUGUGAAGAAGGCCUUCGGGUUGUAAAGCACUUUCAGCGGGGAAGAAAGCGUGGCGGUUAAUACCCGUCACGGACGACAUCACCCGCAGAAGAAGCACCGGCUAACUCCGUGCCAGCAGCCGCGGUAAUACGGAGGGUGCAAGCGUUAAUCGGAAUUACUGGGCGUAAAGCGCGCGUAGGCGGCUAAGUAAGCCGGUUGUGAAAGCCCGGCUGCAACCUGGGAAUUGCAUCCGGAACUGUUUAGCUAGAGUGCAGGAGAGGAAGGUAGAAUUCCCGGUGUAGCGGUGAAAUGCGUAGAGAUCGGGAGGAAUACCAGUGGCGAAGGCGGCCUUCUGG
rnacentral:rRNA from 1 species